GUUGCAACUUGAAAUGGGGUCUCUUGGGUGUGUGUUUUCGGUGGGAGGAAGAAGAAAAUGCUGAAUGAUGUGUGUUGGGGUGAGAAGACCGAUUGGGACAAGGAAAGGAAGAGAGAGGAGUGCAUUUAAGUUUUUACCACUUUUGGGCAAACAAAAAAUAUGCUUAUUUUCAUUCUAGGAAGAUUUUCAUUUUAAUCUUUGUCUCUUUGCUUGCAAUUGUCGAGACCUACCUUGUGGUGGAGAAUAUUUUGUGUUUGCUUUCUUACAUUUGACCUUG
rnacentral:lncRNA from 1 species